rnacentral:rRNA from 1 species
AUUGAACGCUGGCGGCAUGCUUUACACAUGCAAGUCGAACGGCAGCGCGGGCUUCGGCCUGGCGGCGAGUGGCGAACGGGUGAGUAAUGCAUCGGAACGUGCCCAGUAGUGGGGGAUAGCCCGGCGAAAGCCGGAUUAAUACCGCAUACGACCUGAGGGUGAAAGCGGGGGACCGAAAGGCCUCGCGCUAUUGGAGCGGCCGAUGUCGGAUUAGCUAGUUGGUGGGGUAAAGGCUUACCAAGGCGACGAUCCGUAGCUGGUCUGAGAGGACGACCAGCCACACUGGGACUGAGACACGGCCCAGACUCCUACGGGAGGCAGCAGUGGGGAAUUUUGGACAAUGGGGGCAACCCUGAUCCAGCCAUGCCGCGUGCGGGAAGAAGGCCUUCGGGUUGGAAACCGCUUUUGUUCGGGAAGAAAUCCUUUGGGCUAAUACCCCGGGGGGGAUGACGGUACCGGAAGAAUAAGCACCGGCUAACUGCGUG